UACGUAGGGGGGCUAGCGUUGUCCGGAAUCAUUGGGCGUAAAGCGCGCGUAGGCGGCCAGAUAAGUCCGGUGUGAAAGUCACAGGCUCAACCUGUGAAUGCCGCUGGAAACUGUCUGGCUAGAGUUCGGAAGGGGCGAGUGGAAUUCCUGGUGUAGCGGUGAAAUGCGCAGAUAUCAGGAGGAACACCAAUGGCGAAGGCAGCUCGCUGGGACGUGACUGACGCUGAGACGCGAAAGCGUGGGGAGCAAACAGG
rnacentral:rRNA from 1 species